CAUUAUUGAAAUAAACUUGAUGGGUUGCUGCUGGUUCCCUAAGGAACAUGUGCACACUUGUCAUCUUUAUAUCUCCACCUGUGCACCUUUUGUAGACCUGAAUAGCUUUCUGAAUGCUAAGCAUUCAGGCUUGAGGAUUGACUUAUUUAUUUUUUGUCUCUCCUUACUUUUACAGGUCUAUGUUUCUUUAUAUAUACCCCUAAUCUAUGUUAUAGAAUGUAUAUAAAUGGGUGUUUAUGCCUAUAAACUUAUACAACUUUCAGCAACGGAUCUCUUGGCUCUCGCAUCGAUGAAGAACGCAGCGAAAUGCGAUAAGUAAUGUGAAUUGCAGAAUUCAGUGAAUCAUCGAAUCUUUGAACGCACCUUGCGCUCCUUGGUAUUCCGAGGAGCAUGCCUGUUUGAGUGUCAUUAAUAUAUCAACCUCUUCAGCUUUUGGUUGUUGAGUGUUUGGAUGUGGGGGGGUUGUUUGCUGGUCUCUAGGAGGUCAGCUCCCCUAAAAUGCAUUAGCGAAACAAUUUGUUGAUCGUUCAUUGGUGUGAUAACUAUCUACGCUAUUGACGUGAGGCAGUUUAGCUUCUAACAGUCCAUUGUCUUGGACAAUUUUUUUCAUUAAUGUGACCUCAAAUCAGGUAGGACUACCCGCUGAACUUAAGCAUAUCAAUAAGCGGAGGAAAAGAAACUAACAAGGAUUCCCCUAGUAACUGCGAGUGAAGCGGGAAAAGCUCAAAUUUAAAAUCUGUCAGUCUUUGGCUGUCCGAGUUGUAAUCUAGAGAAGCGUUAUCCGCGCUGGACCGUGUAUAAGUCUCCUGGAAUGGAGCGUCAUAGAGGGUGAGAAUCCCGUCUUUGACACGGACUACCAGGGCUUUGUGAUGCGCUCUCAAAGAGUCGAGUUGUUUGGGAAUGCAGCUCAAAAUGGGUGGUAAAUUCCAUCUAAAGCUAAAUAUUGGCGAGAGACCGAUAGCGAACAAGUACCGUGAGGGAAAGAUGAAAAGAACUUUGGAAAGAGAGUUAAACAGUACGUGAAAUUGCUGAAAGGGAAACGCUUGAAGUCAGUCGCGUUGUCCAGGAAUCAACCUUGCUUUUGCUUGGUGUACUUUCUGGUUGACGGGUCAGCAUCAAUUUUGACCAUUGGAAAAAUAUUAGGGGAAUGUGGCAUCUUUGGAUGUGUUAUAGCCCUUAGUUGCAUACAAUGGUUGGGAUUGAGGAACUCAGCACGCCGCAAGGCCGGGUUUUUAACCACGUACGUGCUUAGGAUGCUGGCAUAAUGGCUUUAAUCGACCCGUCUUGAAA
rnacentral:rRNA from 1 species